rnacentral:rRNA from 1 species
GACGAACGCUGGCGGCGUGCUUAACACAUGCAAGUCGAACGGAAAGGCCCUGCUGUUGUGGGGUGCUCGAGUGGCGAACGGGUGAGUAACACGUGAGUAACCUGCCCUUGACUUUGGGAUAACUUCAGGAAACUGGGGCUAAUACCGGAUAGGAGCUCCUGCUGCAUGGUGGGGGUUGGAAAGUUUCGGCGGUUGGGGAUGGACUCGCGGCUUAUCAGCUUGUUGGUGGGGUAGUGGCUUACCAAGGCUUUGACGGGUAGCCGGCCUGAGAGGGUGACCGGCCACAUUGGGACUGAGAUACGGCCCAGAGUCCUACGGGAGGCAGCAGUGGGGAAUAUUGCACAAUGGGCGGAAGCCUGAUGCAGCAACGCCGCGUGCGGGAUGACGGCCUUCGGGUUGUAAACCGCUUUCGCCUGUGACGAAGCGUGAGUGACGGUAAUGGGUAAAGAAGCACCGGCUAACUACGUG